CCCCACCCCUUGGUCUCCUAGCUAGCUGGGAUCCUGGCUGGGAGUGUGCUGAUCGCGUGCGCCUUGAUCUGUAUGUUCUGGGACAAUUUACCAUAUGGAACACAAAAGGAAUCGGCGUCCACCCACCAAGAGGACACUGAGUAUCACAGGAGAGACGAGUGGAUGUCAACGAGCAUGCAAGUGGCACCUCGUUUGCAUAGUGACACAAUGAGGUCUCGCGCUCUGUGUAACAGAAGCUAAAGAUUCCAGAGGUGUCUCUCAUGGGGACCAAAAGAAGGCCUAACCUUCCGGGCAUCUAGGACCCUGGUUGUCCCUGCCGUGACGACCUA